AGCAGCCGCGGUAAUUCCAGCUCCAAUAGCGUAUAUUAAAGUUGUUGCAGUUAAAAAGCUCGUAGUUGAAUUUCGGGAUCAAUAUGUCGGUCGUGCCUUCGGUACGUACUGGCAUCAUUGAUUUCUCCCUUCUGACGAACCACGAUGUCAUUAAUUUGGUGUCAUGGGGAGUCAGGACUGUUACUUUGAAAAAAUUAGAGUGUUUAAAGCAGGCACACGCUUGAAUACAUUAGCAUGGAAUAAUGAAAUAGGACGUUUGACCCUAUUUUGUUGGUUUCUAGGAUCAACGUAAUGAUUAAUAGGGAUAGUUGGGGGCAUUAGUAUUCAAUUGUCAGAGGUGAAAUUCUUGGAUUUAUUGAAGACUAACUACUGCGAAAGCAUUUGCCAAGGAUGUUUUCAUUAAUCAAGAACGAAAGUUAGGGGAUCGAAGACGAUCAGAUACCGUCGUAGUCUUAACCAUAAACUAUGCCGACUAGGGAUCGGAUGAUGUUAAUUUUUAAUGACUCAUUCGGUCG
rnacentral:rRNA from 1 species